UCUGUGAAUAUUUUGGUGUUGUUGGUUAGUUCGCGGGCGGGCGGCCCCAAGCUGCUCAGUUCUGGCCUGCACCUUGUACGGGUUGGACACCUCGCCUGUUGUUGGGUAGAUUUACGCUUUGACAUAUAAAAUGUUUCGUCUUGGAAUGAGUAGCCUGGUCGUCAUACUGGUUGUGGUGAGUUUGGCGAAGGAUGCAGACUCUGGAUUUUUUUCGAAGAUUGGCGAAUUCUUCAGGUUCAAUAAACAGGAAAGCGCAGAGAAGGCUCGCAAACGAGCUUUAUUAGAAGAAAAGUUUCUUAACUCUUACGUGGUUGAAAUGUGUGGGGCUUUCCUUUUAAUCAUGACUAUCCAACGAGAUCCGGAUUUGGUGCUUGCCCAUAUAAAAUACGAGGCUUAUCAAAUAAAGCCCAAUUCUGUGCAAAAGUCACUCUACUUGAAAAUGGCUGCUCUUUUACAAGAGCAGGGUAUGCCUAGGGAAGCGGCGCAACCCGUGAUUGCUUUUACAACUUGUUAUAAUUACUGGUCAAACAUUACGGACCCGAUCUUCACGUUCGCGCACGAUAAAAAUCUGUAAAGAAAUAAGCAUCGCAUUUUAAUUGUUAAUAAACCUUGAUUUUUA